GGCGUAUAUCUUGUAUUGUAAGGGAUACUAAAUGCUCACUAUGAGCUCUUCUGCCACUUUACACUACAUACCACUCGAUCUUAAAUACUUAUAACAAUACAAAUUUAAUGUACCAGUUAACAUUUAUUCAGUUAAAUACUUUAAUUGUAUAGAUCUCAAUGACUAAUGUUCUCAUUAAAUUUUGUAGUUGACAAUAAUAAUUUUAGGAUUGGUCUAACAGCUGAAUUCAUAACACUCAAUCUAACAGAGUGAGGUUUGAGUCAAUAAUUAAGCUCUCAACCCCCUUACCUAAUGCAUUUCAAAAUAUAUAAUAUCUCAAUAAUAACAAAACAAGAAGCCAUUAAGAAAAACAACAUAAAGUAAAAAAGAAAGCAAUAGAUGUGUCCUGCAUAGAAAACCUACUUUUAAUGUAGGAAUUUAAUUCUCCAAGAUUCUCGAUCCCUCAAGAUGAGCACAAAUAAAAAAAUGAAUGAUCAACUUGUGAAAAAAUUCGAUACUCUGAAAUUGUAACGAUGAUAUAGAUUGCUUAAAAAAACUUUUAAUGUGCAAAUUUGAAGGGAUCGAAUAUAUUUAUUGAAUAAUGAGGUGGAGAAGGUCCCAAAAUUAAUAUGAAUCGCAAAGAAUGAGAAAGAACCUCUUACCUGUCUUGGCUACCUUCACCGCCGACCAUUUUCUUUGCUGUAUCUUCAGCCCAUAAGAACAAGAAGUAGCGGCAGUACAAACCUUGCAAGGAAAUUGUCGUGUAUUUUCAUGAGAAUCUUUAUGAUGAAACAAUGCUGCUAAUGCUAACUUUACCACAUUAGCAAGCCAAUCUCAUUUUGGAAAACAUACACUACUGUUUCAUGAGCCCAUUACCCUACACAACAACUUUCC
rnacentral:misc_RNA from 1 species